AGUUGGCUGCGGCCUGUGAUAUUGACGGGAGCUGUCGCCUUGUCCUGAGUGACAUCAUGCUGGCCGCGUGUCUUGUGCGUGUGCACGUCUCGUCAUCUUCACACGCACACGCACUCUCGGCCUGCCCUUGACGUGCGCGCGCGGUAAGUGCGUCCACGUCUGAUCAAUGUCGAUGUUUUCGUCGAUCGAUUGCUUGGCGCUAGCUAGCUAAGCUAGCCAGCCAGCCUUAACGAGGUAGCCAACGGGAUAGAGCUGUUACAAGCGCGUGCACACGCUCCGUCUUUAAUUGAAUGUGUGCACGAGGCUCGUGCUCGUCUAUUUUCAUUUAAAGGCAUUUGAAGUCGCGUCUAGCGUGACGUCACCUGGACGACAACGCAACAUGUCAGCUGACAUCUGUGGUUCCUAAUCAUUCCAAAGAAAGAACCUUCCAUCUUGUUUGGCAGCCAUGCAGCAGAAGUUGUGUUCCGGUUCUUUUCACUCAGAGCGAGGCUGCAACGAACCCCUGCCGUCAUGUGACCUCCCCUUCCGCUGCCCCCGCUGUGGCGAGCAGGAGCGCUUCCACAGCAUGGACGCCCUCCACGCCCACCUCGAGUACCGACACUCAUACCGCUCGCCGGACGAGGUGGGCGGCGGAGGCUUCAGCAUCACUGGGAAACUCCCGCCUGACUCUCUGAGCGCCGCCGCGUCCUGGCAGGACAUGAGCCUCCCAACCUGCAGGGGGCAACAGAGCGCGGGGCGGCCGCCUCACGUACGCUCGCUGAGCGACAGCAGAGAUGGCGCCUUCAUGCUGUCCUACAGCUCUGUGAGGAGGCGGACCCACAGUGUGGGUGUGGGGACGCAGGCAGAAGAAGAGGUGGGUGGGGCUGAGGCAGAGGAAAAAUUAGAUUCUCAUCAUCGAGGUUGCCUUCCUCCAACGCCGGACCUGGACUGGAACUGGGACCUGCCAGGGCGGCGUGCUUCCUCCGGCUCGGACGCGGCGGCGGCCUCGGCCGCUGUGCGCCGGCGCCUGGCCAGCAUGCUGCGAGCGGCCGACAGCAGCGUGCAGCGCCGGCUGGCCCGGGUCAGCACGGAGCUGGCUCACACCGACACGCAGCUGCUGUGCGAGCGCGCUCACUCGCAGCAUCUGUCCCAGGAGAGACAGGAAGUGGCCGACAGGGAGCGCUCGCUUAGCCGGCAGGUGGACGUGGCCGUCAUGGUCAUCGCGGCGCUCAAGGAGCAGAUCAACGCCUCGGAGAACGAGCUGGAGCGGCGAGAGAGGCAGGUCAUCACCAUCCAGAAGUUUCUGGAAGCCGCAGCCCGCCAGGAGACCAGCGGCAAAGUGAGAAUCCAGUGCUUCAUCGAGAACCUACUCAGACGCAUCGCCUUGGCCGAGAGACUGCUGGAGUACUAUCAAGUCAACGGCAGCCCGCCUCAGCACCACCAGUGCACGCAGCACCAGCAGACAAGUGAUGGCCGACCUCACAGGAUGACGAAAAGCAGGUGAGACUCUCCUGACAUCACUACUAUCAGAAGAACAAGAGGAUAGAGGGGAGGGAGCCACCUGGUGUGGCCCAGCAAGGUGCACUGUAUUCGAGCACACGCUCCGAGCAGCCGGUGUGCCGCCACGGAGGUCUCUGGUAAACUUUUUGCACUUUUCAAAAGCCGCAGUGCUGCCGUUCCAGGUGGCUGAUAAGCUUUUUUGUGUGCUCCCCCUCAUCACGGACAAUUUUGGUACAACGUCCUUCCUCUUAAAGUGAAUGUUUGUUUACAAGUGAGCUCAGGAAAAGUUACGACAGCACGUUAACGUCACAGGCAGGAGAAAAAAGGAGCGCUUGAUUUGCUCACCCGCACAGUACAGGUAAUUGAAGUAUUUUUUUUUUAAUUAUCAGUUACCAGAGCUAUUUUUAAUGUUGUCAGAUUUAUCAGUACGACAUCAUAAUGCUCUCAUAUCGGCCCAAAAAUUAUCGUGCACUCCUAGAAAAAACAUUUUGUUUCAACAAAAGUCAUUAAAAAGCCAUAGUUAGCCAUAGCCAUAGCAAUAGUUCGUUCGAUGUCGAUAUGAGCCAAUAUCUCCAUUUUUAUCAGACCUAAUACCCUAAAAUAGGGGAGUCCAAAGUGUGGCCCAGAGGCCAUUUAUAACCCGCACAUCUGAGAAAUAGUAAAAAUGGGGGGGAAAGCAGUAAAAAUUGAAAAAUGGGUAAUUUUACAGGAGUAAAGUCAAAAUAUUAAGAGAAAGAAGUUGUAAUCUAACGAGAAAAAGUCACAAUUAGCAUUGAAAUGUUAUGAGGAAAAAUAAUUUUAGUAGCAUAAAGUCGAAAUAUUAAAGAAGCACGUUAUUUAAAAAAAAAAAUAUAUAUAUAUAUAUAUAUAUAUAUAUAUAUAUAUUUAUUUAUUUAUUUAUUGUGUGAAACAAAUAUAACAAAGUUGUAAUUUUUGGAAAAUUAGUUUGCGGAAAUAUUUCUAGUGUUACAAGAAUGUGAAAAUAUCACGGGAAUAAAGUCAUAAUUCCCAGAAGAAAAUUUACAAGGAGAAAGUUGGAAUAUUUGGAAAAUAAAAACAGCAGCAGAAAUGACAAAAACAGCUGUCAUUACAAAAACAAAGUCGAAAUAUUACGUGAAAAAAGUCGUAUUCUAACGAGAAAAAAGUGGCAAUUUUACCACAAUAAACGCAGAAUAUUACGAGGAAAAAUAAUGUCAUUUUAGUAGCAUAAAGUUGAAAUAUUAAAGAACCACGUUAUUUUUUCAAACUCCUAAUAUGUAAAACAAACAAAACGAUGAAAAAGUUGUCAUUUUUGGAAAAUGAGCUUGCAGAAUAAGUUCUCAUGUUACAAGAAUACAGGAGAAAAAAGUGGCUAUUUUACCUUGGAAAGUGUUUGUUUCUUUCCAAGUGAGCUCAUGGGAAGUUAACGGCACAGGCAGGAGAAAAAAAGGAGCGCUUGAUUUGUUCACCAGCACUGUACAGGUCGGCGGGAGGUCAGCUCUCCUCGUCUGGUCUCCAUGGCAACACGACGCCUCCGCCCCCCAGCAGGCCGUCCGGCGGGCGGGACCAAGAGAGGGAGCAGCGUGAGCGUCUGGCCCGCUCGUCCAGGCUCUUCUGCCGAC